AAAUGGAUCUCGGAGUGUGUGCGCUUCCUAUCUUCAAAGGGAAGAGGAGAGAGAGAGAAGACGGUCUAAGUGUCAGGAAGAGGAAUGAUGCUCCAGAUGCGCCCUUUGACUCCAUUUCCUGCUCCCCACCAAGCCUCUGGAGAGUAUGCUCAGGGAGCUCUCCCUCUUCCUGUGAGGCCAGAGAUGUUUCCAGUUUUGAGGCUGUUGUGGAUGACAUGUCUGGGCAAGCAUGCGGCAAAACCACAGAGAGACAGGAGAGGAAAGAAACAAAGCUGGGCAAACUCCAGAGCACCUUCUGCAGGACUUCUGUCAAGCCUGAGGUACCCUGGUGACCUGCCCACCCCUCCUGCCCUUCGGAUUUAAACCAUCUAAUGAACUUUGUGAAGCCCUGCAAAACCCAUUCCAGCGUCAGGACUGAUCAAAGUAAAAGUUGCUGAAAUUGUAUGAAAAAUGAAGUGAAAUUGAGUGAAAGUUUUCUUGUCAUUUGCUUAUCAACCUCCUGUG
rnacentral:lncRNA from 1 species